rnacentral:rRNA from 1 species
GACGAACGCUGGCGGCGUGCUUAACACAUGCAAGUCGAGCGGUAAGGCCCUUUCGGGGGUACACGAGCGGCGAACGGGUGAGUAACACGUGGGUGACCUGCCCUUAGCUCUGGGAUAAGCCUGGGAAACUGGGGUCUAAUACCGGAUAUGACUCCAUGACGCAUGUUGUGGGGUGGAAAGCCUUGUGCGGCUAGGGGAUGGGCCCGCGGCCUAUCAGCUUGUUGGUGGGGUGAUGGCCUACCAAGGCGACGACGGGUAGCCGGCCUGAGAGGGCGACCGGCCACACUGGGACUGAGACACGGCCCAGACUCCUACGGGAGGCAGCAGUGGGAAUCUUGCGCAAUGGGCGAAAGCCUGACGCAGCGACGCCGCGUGAGGGAUGACGGCCUCGG